AAAAGCGUGCAAAUUCAAUACAUUGCAUGGGCCAUGUAGGCCU
rfam:Trichuris trichiura, WGS project CBXK01000000 data, contig: TTRE_1461